rnacentral:rRNA from 1 species
ACGAACGCUGGCGGCGUACUUAACACAUGCAAGUCGAACGGAAAGGCCCUGCUUUUGUGGGGUGCUCGAGUGGCGAACGGGUGAGUAACACGUGAGUAACCUGCCCUUGACUUUGGGAUAACUUCAGGAAACUGGGGCUAAUACCGGAUAGGAGCUCCUGCUGCAUGGUGGGGGUUGGAAAGUUUCGGCGGUUGGGGAUGGACUCGCGGCUUAUCAGCUUGUUGGUGGGGUAGUGGCUUACCAAGGCUUUGACGGGUAGCCGGCCUGAGAGGGUGACCGGCCACAUUGGGACUGAGAUACGGCCCAGACUCCUACGGGAGGCAGCAGUGGGGAAUAUUGCACAAUGGGCGGAAGCCUGAUGCAGCAACGCCGCGUGCGGGAUGACGGCCUUCGGGUUGUAAACCGCUUUCGCCUGUGAUGAAGCGUGAGUGACGGUAAUGGGUAAAGAAGCACCGGCUAACUACGUG